GUGGCUGUCGGUGAUGGGCAGCGGGUCGCUCUUGCGCUUCCACUCGUUCUUGUGGAAGCUGUAGAGCUCCUCCAUGCUCCGGACGGCCGCUGAAGAAAAUAAUUUCCUACUGAAUCUUCAGAUAUGUCUUUAACCGUCUGGAAAGGGAAGUUGAAGAGAAGCACUGGGAAAAUGUUAAACUGGUUUGGAUUUUCAUAGCCACUUUGGUGAGAGUAAUGAAACUGUGGAGCAUUUUUGUAAGAUCAGUGUAGCUUGCUAGGUCAAAACUAUUAACUAUACAUAGACUGUGUGUCAUAUCAUCCGAUUGAAUAAAGUACUAUUUUAAACUA